rnacentral:rRNA from 1 species
GAUUCUGGCUCAGAUUGAACGCUGGCGGCAUGCCUUACACAUGCAAGUCGAACGCUGGCCGUGAGGUAGCAAUAUUUCACGGUCGGAGUGGCGUAAGGGUGCGUAACACGUGGGUAAUUUGCCGCGAAGUUGGGGAUAACUCCGAGAAAUCGGAGCUAAUACCGAAUGUGAUCGCCGGGGGGCAUCCUCUGGUGGUUGAAGUUGGGGACCGCAAGGCCUGACGCUUCGCGAUAAGCCCGCGGCCUAUCAGCUAGUUGGCGGGGUAACGGCCCACCAAGGCGAAGACGGGUAGCUGGUCUGAGAGGACGACCAGCCACACUGGAACUGAGACACGGUCCAGACACCUACGGGUGGCAGCAGUCGAGAAUUUUUCACAAUGGGCGAAAGCCUGAUGGAGCGACGCCGCGUGGGGGACGAAUGGCUUCGGCCCGUAAACCCCUGUCAUUUGCGAGCAAUUCCGGCCGGUGAAUAUCCGGUCGGUUGAUCGUAGCGAAAGAGGAAGGGACGGCUAACUCUGUGCCAGCAGCCGCGGUAAUACAGAGGUCCCAAGCGUUGUUCGGAUUCACUGGGCGUAAAGGGUGCGUAGGUGGCAAGGUAAGUUCGGUGUGAAAUCCCCGGGCUUAACCCGGAAAUGGCAUUGAAUACUAUCUUGCUAGAGGGUUGGAGGGGGGACUGGAAUUCUCGGUGUAGCAGUGAAAUGCGUAGAUAUCGAGAGGAACACCAGUGGCGAAGGCGAGUCCCUGGACAACUCCUGACACUGAGGCACGAAAGCUAGGGGAGCAAACAGGAUUAGAUACCCUGGUAGUCCUAGCCCUAAACGGUGCACAUUUGCUGUAGGCGGAUUAGACCCCGUCUGUGGCGUAGCUAACGCGAUAAAUGUGCCGCCUGGGAAGUACGGUCGCAAGAUUAAAACUCAAAGAAAUUGACGGGGGCCUGCACAAGCGGUGGAGUAUGUGGCUCAAUUCGAUCAACGCGAAGAACCUUACCUGGCCUUGACAUGCAAGUAGUAGAAGAAUGAAGGUUCGACGACUCCGCAAGGAGAGCUUGCACAGGUGCUGCAUGGCUGUCGUCAGCUCGUGUCGUGAGAUGUUGGGUUGAGUCCCGCAACGAGCGCAACCCCUGUGUCCUGUUGCCACUUCCGCGCAAGCGGAAAGCACUCUGGACAGACUGCCUCGCUUAAACGGGGAGGAAGGUGGGGAUGACGUCAAGUCAGUAUGGCCCUUACGGCCAGGGCUGCACACGUACUACAAUGACCGGUACAAAGGGAUGCGAGACCGCAAGGUGGAGCCAAUCCCCCAAAACCGGCCCCAGUUCAGAUUGUCGUCUGCAACUCGACGGCAUGAAGCUGGAAUCGCUAGUAAUGGCGCAUCAGCUACGGCGCCGUGAAUACGUUCCCAGGCCUUGUACACACCGCCCGUCACAUCAUGAAAGCCGUUUGUACCCGAAGUCGUUGUGCCAACCUAACAGGGGCAGAUGCCGAAGGUAUGGAUGGUGAUUGGGAUGAAGUCGUAACAAGGUA